AGGCUGAUGAAGGCCGUCGAAGAUCACAAGCGCAGCUUGCUAUUGUACAGGUUUAGAAUCUAGAAAGGUUGUUAAUUCCAAAUCAAUUUGGAAUCCAGUCAAAAUCCAGUGAAAACUACUCUCAAGGACUGCUCUGAACCUCAAAUAUCAUCGGCCAAAGAAGUUGUGAUGUUGAUUGAUGCAACUAUGCUGUACUGUUUCAGUCACGGAAGUCUGGCAUCCUUUGUACACGAUCCUUUGUACACUAAUAUGAGGCGUUUUAGGUCACGGAAGUCUGGCAUGGCUGCAUCUAUUUUGAACACGAUCUGUACACGUAGACAUAACAAAGAAAGAAAACCUGUGUGUUUA